rnacentral:rRNA from 1 species
AUUGAACGCUGGCGGCGUGCCUAACACAUGCAAGUCGAGCGGUAACAGGUGUAGCAAUACAUGCUGACGAGCGGCGGACGGGUGAGUAACGCUUGGGAAUCUGCCUGUUAGUGGGGGACAACCCGGGGAAACUCGGGCUAAUACCGCAUACGCACUACGGUGGAAAGCCGGGGACCGCAAGGCCUGGCGCUAACAGAUGAGCCCAAGUCGGAUUAGCUAGUUGGUAGGGUAACGGCCACCAAGGCGACGAUCCGUAACUGGUCUGAGAGGACGACCAGUCACACCGGAACUGAGACACGGUCCGGACUCCUACGGGAGGCAGCAGUGGGGAAUAUUGGACAAUGGGCGAAAGCCUGAUCCAGCGACGCCGCGUGGGUGAAGAAGGCCUGCGGGUUGUAAAGCCCUUUCGGUGGGGAAGAAAAGCCNCGAGUUAACACCUCGGGUCUUGACGUAACCCAUAGAAGAAGCACCGGCUAACUCUGUGCCAG